UACGUAGGGUGCAAGCGUUAAUCGGAAUUACUGGGCGUAAAGCGUGCGCAGGCGGCUUUGCAAGACAGAUGUGAAAUCCCCGGGCUCAACCUGGGAACUGCAUUUGUGACUGCAAGGCUAGAGUACGGUAGAGGGGGAUGGAAUUCCGCGUGUAGCAGUGAAAUGCGUAGAUAUCUGGAGGAACACCGGUGGCGAAGGCGGCAUCCUGGACCAAUAUUGACGCUGAGGAGCGAAAGCCAGGGGAGCAAACGGG
rnacentral:rRNA from 1 species